AACGAACGCUGGCGGCAUGCCUAACACAUGCAAGUCGAACGAGACCUUCGGGUCUAGUGGCGCACGGGUGCGUAACGCGUGGGAACCUGCCCUUAGGUUCGGAAUAACUCCCCGAAAGGGGUGCUAAUACCGGAUAAUGUCUUCGGACCAAAGAUUUAUCGCCUUUGGAUGGGCCAGCGUUGGAUUAGCUAGUUGGUAGGGUAAAAGCCUACCAAGGCGACGAUCCAUAGCUGGUCUGAGAGGAUGAUCAGCCACACUGGGACUGAGACACGGCCCAGACUCCUACGGGAGGCAGCAGUGGGGAAUAUUGGACAAUGGGCGAAAGCCUGAUCCAGCAAUGCCGCGUGAGUGAUGAAGGCCUUAGGGUUGUAAAGCUCUUUUACCCGGGAUGAUAAUGACAGUACCGGGAGAAUAAGCUCCGGCUAACUCCGU
rnacentral:rRNA from 1 species